rnacentral:rRNA from 1 species
GAAAGUAAGCAAGGGCAGACGGUGGAUGCCUUGGCUCUCGGAGGCGACGAAGGACGUGAUAAGCUGCGAAAAGCCCGGGGGAGGCGCAAAUAGCCCUUGAUCCCGGGAUAUCCGAAUGGGGCAACCCGGCAGGCUGAAGGCCUGCCAUCCCGUAAGGGAGGCGAACGUGGGGAACUGAAACAUCUAAGUACCCAUAGGAGGAGAAAAUAAACAAUGAUUCCGUAAGUAGUGGCGAGCGAACACGGAAGAGCCCAAACCCAUGUCGUCUAGGCGACACGGGGGUUGUAGGACCACGACGUGGCAAGAUAGAGUCAAGUGGAACGCCUUGGAAAGGGCGACCGUAGAGGGUGAUAGUCCCGUACACGACUGACGAUUGAAGCCUAGUGGUAUCCUGAGUAGCGCGGGGCACGAGAAAUCUUGCGUGAAACAGCGGGGCCCAUCCCGUAAGGCUAAAUACUCCCGAGAGACCGAUAGCGAACCAGUACCGUGAGGGAAAGGUGAAAAGAACCCCGAGCAGGGGAGUGAAAUAGACCCUGAACCCGUCUGCCUACAAGCGGUCGGAGCAUCGUCAAGAUGUGACGGCGUGCCUUUUGCAUAAUGAACCUACGAGUUACCUUCCCCGGCAAGGUUAAGUACCUAAGGUACGGAGCCGAAGCGAAAGCGAGUCUGAAGAGGGCGGCCAGUCGGGGGGGGUAGACGCGAAACCGAGUGAUCUACCCUUGGCCAGGUUGAAGGUUGGGUAACACCAACUGGAGGACCGGAUGGGUAAGCGUUGAAAAGCUUUCCAAUGAGCUGAGGGUAGGGGUGAAAGGCUAAUCAAACUCGGAGAUAGCUCGUACUCCCCGAAAUGCAUUUAGGUGCAGCCUCUUUAUAGUAUAUCGUGAGGUAGAGCGACUGAUUGGAUGCGAGGGCUUCACCGCCUAUCAAGUCCAGAUAAACUCCGAAUGCGCGAUAUAUAUUUAAAGGGAGUGAGGGCGCGGGUGCUAAGGUCCGUGUCCGAGAGGAGAAGAAUCCAGACCACCGGCUAAGGCCCCCAAAUGAUCGUUAAGUUGAACUAACGAGGUCGGAUCGCAGAGACAGCUAGGAUGUUGGCUUGGAAGCAGCCAUUCAUUUAAAGAGUGCGUAACAGCUCACUAGUCGAGCGAUCUGGCGUGGAUAAUAAUCGGGCAUAAACGAUCUGCCGAAGCCGUGGAUGUCGUAAGACAUGGUAGGGGAGCAUUCCAUGCGGCGUCGAAGAUGAGGGAUGACCCUUGUUGGAGCGCAUGGAAAAGCAAAUGUAGGUAUGAGUAACGAUAAGGGGGGCGAGAAACCCCCCCGCCGAAAGACCAAGGUUUCCUGAUCAACGCUAAUCGGAUCAGGGUGAGUCGGGACCUAAGGCUAAGCCGAACGGCGCCGCCGAUGGAAGAAUGGGUUAAUAUUCCCAUACUGCCUCAUGGAGUGACGUGGAGACGGAGAAGUGACAGUCCUGCCGGCUGACGGAAUAGCCGGUUGAAGGGUGUAGAUAUUGAUUCCCGUAGGCAAAUCCGCGGGGAGAGUCGAACCUGACAGUAUACCGAGUACUUGUACGAGGUAAUAUGGACGUAACCAUGCUCCCAAGAAAAUCCGCUAAACUUAUCCAUGCGGCACCCGUACCGUAAACGGACACACGUGGUCGGGUUGAGAAUACUGAGGCGCUCGAGUGAUUCACGGUUAAGGAACUAGGCAAAUUGACCCUGUAACUUCGGGAUAAAGGGUCCUCGUCGUAAGGCGAGGCGCAGAGAAUAGGUCCAGGCAACUGUUUAACAAAAACACAUGGCUGUGCUAAAUGGAAACAUGAUGUAUACAGCCUGACACCUGCCCGGUGCUGGAAGGUUAAGAGGAGAUGUCAUCGCAAGAGAAGCGUUGAAUUGAAGCCCCAGUAAACGGCGGCCGUAACUAUAACGGUCCUAAGGUAGCGAAAUUCCUUGUC